rnacentral:rRNA from 1 species
CCUACGGGUGGCAGCAGUGAGGAAUAUUGGUCAAUGGGCGCAAGCCUGAACCAGCCAAGUAGCGUGCAGGAUGACUGCCCUACGGGUUGUAAACUUCUUUUAUACGGGAAUAACGUGAGGUACGUGUAGCUCUUUGUAUGUACCGUAUGAAUAAGGAUCGGCUAACUCCGUGCCAGCAGCCGCGGUAAUACGGAAGGUCCGAGCGUUAUCCGGAUUUAUUGGGUUUAAAGGGAGCGUAGGCGGGAUGUCAAGCUUGGUGUGAAAGUUCGGGGCUCAACCGGGCAAUUGCAGGUGAUACUGGCAGGCUUGAGUACAGGUGAGGUAGGCGGAAUUCGUGGUGUAGCGGGGAAAUGCUUAGAUAUCACGAAGAACCCCGAUUGCGAAGGCAGCUUACUGAAGUGCAACUGACGCUGAUGCUCGAAAGCGGGGGUAUCAAACAGGAUUAGAUACCCUGGUAGUC